GACGUAGGGGGCCAGCGUUGUUCGGAAUUACUGGGUGUAAAGGGUUCGUAGGCGGUGCGGCAAGUUGGGAGUGAAAUCUCUGGGCUUAACCCAGAGGCUGCUUCCGAAACUGCUGUGCUUGAGUGUGGGAGAGGCGCGUGGAAUUGCAGGUGUAGCGGUGAAAUGCGUAGAUAUCUGCAGGAACACCCGUGGCGAAGGCGGCUCUCUGGGACGGUACUGACGCUGAGACGCGAAAGCGUGGGGAGCGAACAGG
rnacentral:rRNA from 1 species